rnacentral:rRNA from 1 species
AUUGAACGCUGGCGGCAGGCCUAACACAUGCAAGUCGAGCGGAUGAAGGGUGCUUGCUCCUGGAUUCAGCGGCGGACGGGUGAGUAAUGCCUAGGAAUCUGCCUGGUAGUGGGGGAUAACGUCCGGAAACGGGCGCUAAUACCGCAUACGUCCUGCGGGAGCAAGUGGGGGAUCUUCGGACCUCACGCUAUCAGAUGAGCCUAGGUCGGAUUAGCUAGUUGGUGGGGUAAAGGCCUACCAAGGCGACGAUCCGUAACUGGUCUGAGAGGAUGAUCAGUCACACUGGAACGGAGACACGGUCCAGACUCCUAAGGGAGGCAGCAGUGGGGAAUAUUGGACAAUGGGCGAAAGCCUGAUCCAGCCAUGCCGCGUGUGUGAAGAAGGUCUUCGGAUUGUAAAGCACUUUAAGUUGGGAGGAAGGGCAGUAAGUUAAUACCUUGCCGUUUUGACGGUACCAACAGAAUAAGCACCGGCUAACUUCGUG